AUUUUGGACAAUGGGCGAAAGCCUGAUCCAGCAAUGCCGCGUGUGUGAAGAAGGCCUUCGGGUUGUAAAGCACUUUUGUCCGGAAAGAAAUCCUGAGGGCUAAUAUCCUUCGGGGAUGACGGUACCGGAAGAAUAAGCACCGGCUAACUACGUGCCAGCAGCCGCGGUAAUACGUAGGGUGCGAGCGUUAAUCGGAAUUACUGGGCGUAAAGCGUGCGCAGGCGGUUUGUUAAGACCGAUGUGAAAUCCCCGGGCUCAACCUGGGAACUGCAUUGGUGACUGGCAAGCUAGAGUAUGGCAGAGGGGGGUAGAAUUCCACGUGUAGCAGUGAAAUGCGUAGAGAUGUGGAGGAAUACCGAUGGCGAAGGCAGCCCCCUGGGCCAAUACUGACGCUCAUGCACGAAAGCGUGGGGAGCAAACAGGAUUAGAUACCCUGGUAGUCCACGCCCUAAACG
rnacentral:rRNA from 1 species